UACGUAGGUGACAAGCGUUGUCCGGAUUUACUGGGCGUAAAGAGCGCGCAGGCGGUCGAUCAAGUCGAGUGUGAAAGCCCCCGGCUCAACUGGGGAGGGUCAUUCGAUACUGAUCGACUCGAAGGCAGGAGAGGGUAGUGGAAUUCCCGGUGUAGUGGUGAAAUGCGUAGAUAUUGGGAAGAACACCAGCGGCGAAAGCGCGCGACUGGGCCAUUACUGACACUCAUGGACGAAAGCUAGGGGAGCGAAAGGG
rnacentral:rRNA from 1 species